rnacentral:rRNA from 1 species
UUAAGCGACUAAGCGUACACGGUGGAUGCCCUGGCAGUCAGAGGCGAUGAAGGACGUGCUAAUCUGCGAAAAGCGCCGGCGAGGUGAUAUGAACCUUUGACCCGGCGAUGUCCGAAUGGGGAAACCCAGUGUGUUCCGACACACUAUCGUUAACUGAAUACAUAGGUUAACGAGGCGAACCGGGGGAACUGAAACAUCUAAGUACCCCGAGGAAAAGAAAUCAACCGAGAUUCCCCCAGUAGCGGCGAGCGAACGGGGAGCAGCCCGGAGUCUGAAUCAGCUUGUGUGUUAGUGGAACGGUCUGGAAAGUCCGACGGUACAGGGUGAUAGUCCCGUACACGAAAGCACACAUGCUGUGAACUCGAAGAGUAGGGCGGGACACGUGGUAUCCUGUCUGAAUAUGGGGGGACCAUCCUCCAAGGCUAAAUACUCCUGACUGACCGAUAGUGAACCAGUACCGUGAGGGAAAGGCGAAAAGAACCCCGGCGAGGGGAGUGAAAAAGAACCUGAAACCGUGUACGUACAAGCAGUGGGAGCCUCUUUAUGGGGUGACUGCGUACCUUUUGUAUAAUGGGUCAGCGACUUAUAUUCUGUAGCAAGGUUAACCGUAUAGGGGAGCCGAAGGGAAACCGAGUCUUAACUGGGCGUUAAGUUGCAGGGUAUAGACCCGAAACCCGGUGAUCUAGCCAUGGGCAGGUUGAAGGUUGGGUAACACUAACUGGAGGACCGAACCGACUAAUGUUGAAAAAUUAGCGGAUGACUUGUGGCUGGGGGUGAAAGGCCAAUCAAACCGGGAGAUAGCUGGUUCUCCCCGAAAGCUAUUUAGGUAGCGCCUCGUGAACUCAUCUUCGGGGGUAGAGCACUGUUUCGGCUAGGGGGCCAUCCCGGCUUACCAACCCGAUGCAAACUACGAAUACCGAAGAAUGUUAUCACGGGAGACACACGGCGGGUGCUAACGUCCGUCGUGAAGAGGGAAACAACCCAGACCGCCAGCUAAGGUCCCAAAGUCAUGGUUAAGUGGGAAACGAUGUGGGAAGGCACAGACAGCCAGGAUGUUGGCUUAGAAGCAGCCAUCAUUUAAAGAAAGCGUAAUAGCUCACUGGUCGAGUCGGCCUGCGCGGAAGAUGUAACGGGGCUAAACCAUGCACCGAAGCUGCGGCAGCGACACUAUGUGUUGUUGGGUAGGGGAGCGUUCUGUAAGCCGUUGAAGGUGUCCUGUGAGGGGUGCUGGAGGUAUCAGAAGUGCGAAUGCUGACAUAAGUAACGAUAAAGCGGGUGAAAAGCCCGCUCGCCGGAAGACCAAGGGUUCCUGUCCAACGUUAAUCGGGGCAGGGUGAGUCGACCCCUAAGGCGAGGCCGAAAGGCGUAGUCGAUGGGAAACAGGUUAAUAUUCCUGUACUUGGUGUUACUGCGAAGGGGGGACGGAGAAGGCUAUGUUAGCCGGGCGACGGUUGUCCCGGUUUAAGCAUGUAGGCGGAGGUUCCAGGUAAAUCCGGUUCCUUAUUAACGCUGAGGUGUGAUGACGAGGCACUACGGUGCUGAAGUAACAAAUGCCCUGCUUCCAGGAAAAGCCUCUAAGCAUCAGGUAACAUCAAAUCGUACCCCAAACCGACACAGGUGGUCAGGUAGAGAAUACCAAGGCGCUUGAGAGAACUCGGGUGAAGGAACUAGGCAAAAUGGUGCCGUAACUUCGGGAGAAGGCACGCUGAUAUGUAGGUGAAGCCCCUGCGGGUGGAGCUGAAAUCAGUCGAAGAUACCAGCUGGCUGCAACUGUUUAUUAAAAACACAGCACUGUGCAAACACGAAAGUGGACGUAUACGGUGUGACGCCUGCCCGGUGCCGGAAGGUUAAUUGAUGGGGUUAGCGGCAACGCGAAGCUCUUGAUCGAAGCCCCGGUAAACGGCGGCCGUAACUAUAACGGUCCUAAGGUAGCGAAAUUCCUUGUCGGGU